rnacentral:lncRNA from 1 species
CCUUUCCCUUUCUCUACUUCCCUCUCCACCUUGCUCUCUCUCUCUCUCUCUCUCUCAAUCUCCCCAGUUCCUCUCUGUCUCUCUCUCCAUCGCUGUUUCUCUCCUUCCGUUUCUAUUUCUCAUCCCUCUGUCCCUUGCUCUCCUUCAAGUUGUCUGUGUCUUUGUGUGUCUGUGUGUGUGCUUGUGUUCCCGCGCGUGCGCCCGUGUGUGUCUGUGUGUUUGGGAGUGGGUUUGCUAGUGAUUGUGGUGGGGUGUGUCUGGAUGUCCAUCAGUACCUUUGUCCCAGGAUCAGGCUGCCAACUCUAUUGCCAACGCCUGGGUGUCACAGUUGCCGUGAUAGUCUCACACACGCAGUUGUGUUCAUCUCGUUCGUUUUCACGUAGACAACGAGAGCGAAACCACAGAGAAAAGAAACAUCCCGUGCAUCACGGCCUGAUGAUGGAUUCCUGUUUCCUGCAAAAUGGGGAGUCUCCAAUAUAGCCUGUUUGAAAACUGGAAAGGAGAGCACCGACACGAUGCUGGUCUUCCACGCAUUCCUGGAAGUUUCUGGGGCCCCACAGAGCUCGCGAAACAGUCAACAUGGUCACGCUUUCGGGGGGCAGAAACUUGAGCAACAGGCACCUUUACAGAGGGCAAAGAAACGUGGAAUCCAGAAUCACGCUUCAGUUGGCCUGAGUGUGACUCCUGUGUGGAUGGGACUAUCCGCCUCGAGCUCUGUUGCAGGGCUCAACGUGGGGAUAUGUCAUCUGUGAACCAUGUGGAUGAAAAACAGACAACUACCUGGG